AUCUCUUGGUUCCAGCAUCGAUGAAGAACGCAGCGAAAUGCGAUAAGUAAUGUGAAUUGCAGAAUUCAGUGAAUCAUCGAAUCUUUGAACGCACAUUGCGCCCCUCGGUAUUCCGGGGGGCAUGCCUGUCCGAGCGUCAUU
rnacentral:rRNA from 2 species